rnacentral:lncRNA from 1 species
AAACAUAUCCAAGUCGGGACGAUUCGCUUCUUCGCUCCGGCGGAUCCUCUAACAUUAACAUUUGAGAAGUGAAGUUAGAGAAACUACACAACCCUAACUUUCCUUAUCUCUAUCCAUAUGAUUAAGGCUAAAAUGAUUUAAAUUAAUUUGCAAACUGAUGAUUUUUCUUAACACAGUACUGAUGCAAGCGCUCAUAUACAUGCGCAUACACUCACCCUAUAAACAAACACACGCACGUCCUACCCCUAUGGGUAUCAUGGAAAGACUGAGCCAGCAUAUCAUCUUGAAAUUUACGAAGUCAUCGUUGGCAAUAAGCCAUGUCCAUGCGCUGGCGACCAGCGUCGGGUGCGCCGGGUGCGGUGUGUG